rnacentral:rRNA from 1 species
UACAUGUGGGGCAAGCGUUGUCCGGAAUUACUGGGCAUAAAGGGUGCGUAGGUGGUUUGUUAAGUCACGGGUGAAAGUUUUCGGCCCAACCGGAAAAUUGCCUGUGAUACUGGCGAACUUGAGUGCGUGAGGGGUAACCGGAACGAGCAGUGUAGCGGUGAAAUGCGUAGAUAUUGCUCGGAAGGCCAGAGGCGAAGGCGGGUUACUGGUACGCAACUGACACUGAGGCACGAAAGCUAGGGGAGCAAACAGG